rnacentral:rRNA from 1 species
CCUACGGGAGGCAGCAGGGAGGAAUAUUGGUCAAUGGGCGCGAGCCUGAACCAGCCAAGUCGCGGGAGGGAGGACGGCCCUACGGGUUGUAAACCUCUUUUGCCGGGGAGCAACGGGCGUCACGUGUGGCGCCACUGAGAGUACCCGGAGAAAAAGCAUCGGCGAAAUCCGUGCCAGCAGCCGCGGUAAUACGGAGGAUGCGAGCGUUAUCCGGGUUUAGUGGGUUUAAGGGGUUCGUAGGCGGAUCGUAAAGUCAGUGGUCAAAUUGAGGGGCUCCACCCCUUCCCGCCAUUGAAACUGGCGCUCUUGAGGGGAAGAGAAGUAUGCGGAAUGCGUGGUGUAGCGGUGAAAUGCAUAGAUAUCACGCAGAACCCCGAUUGCGAAGGCAGCAUGCCGGCUUCCGACUGACGCUGAAGCACGAAAGCGUGGGGAUCGAACAGGAUUAGAUACCCGUGUAGUC